UAUCUCUGUAGAGUCUGCAUAUCAAUAAGCGGAGGAAAAGAAACUAACUAGGAUUCCCUCAGUAACGGCGAGUGAAGCGGGAAGAGCUCAAAUUUGAAAUCUUCAAGGUUCUACCUUGACGAAUUGUAGUUUAAAGAAGUGUUUUCUGUUGGAGUUUUGGUAAAAGUUCUUUGGAAUAGGACAUCAUAGAGGGUGAGAAUCCCGUAUUUGACCAUUAUUUCCAGCUUUGUGAUACACUUUCAAAGAGUCGGAUUGUUUGGGAAUGCAGUCCAAAAUGGGUGGUAAAUUUCAUCUAAAGCUAAAUAUUGGCGAGAGACCGAUAGCGAACAAGUACCGUGAGGGAAAGAUGAAAAGAACUUUGAAAAGAGAGUUAAACAGUACGUGAAAUUGUCAAAUAGGGAAGCGUUUGACACCAGUGUUGUUUUCUCGAAAAUCAAUUAAAAAAGGCAGGAUUUUGUGUUGUAUUGACUUUAUCAGCUUUCUGCACUCUUUUCUUGUCUUUUUUAAUGCACUUUUCGUUUAACAAGUCAACAUCAAUUUCUUUUGUUGUAAAAGGGUCAUUGGAAGGUGGCUUUCUUUUCGGAGAAAGUGUUUAUAGCCUUUGACUUCUGCAAUCGGAGAGACUGAGGUCUGCAGCGUAGAUCCUUCGGGGUUAGAUACAUUUGUACUAAGUUAUAGCCUUUCAUAGACAACUUGUUGACUAUGAUCAGUCAUGUAGCUUACUCGCUUAUGUAAUUUUACCUACGCUUAGGAUGUUGAGUAGCGACAUACGCAC
rnacentral:rRNA from 1 species